AUUUAUGGAGAUACCCAGUGUAGAUUGGAGAGAGCUGUUUUUCCAAACUAUUGAGCAUGGUGACUUAGUGAUUGGAAAAACUAGUUUUAUACAGGAAUUUUAAUUUUUCAUGGUGUUGAUUUGUUGAUGAAGUGGCAUCAUAGGAGAUACAUUCCACUUAGAAAUCACAGGUCUUUGUCCAUUAAGAAAUGUGUCUUCUCACAGUAACCAUAGGGGUUAUUUAUCUUACUAUCAAACUGGUGACAUCAUUCAAGCUGGAAUCAAGGAUAUUGAUAGAUGCCAUGCAAAGCUUGCACUGUCUCUGGAUACCUCGUCUCUUCCACCACACCUAUCUGGUAUUAAAUUAGGUGUAAUUAGCCCUGAAGAACUUCCUUUGUGCUACAGGAGGUGUGUUGAACUAAAUAACAAUUCUUUGGAGCCUAUAAAAAUAUCAUGCAGAGUUCAGUGGGAUUUGUUAAUUGAGGAGUAAUUUUUUUUCCCACCAUCUUUAAUAAAAGGCCUGCAGAGCAAUAAUUUCUCUUAAGACAAUUUUGUUUCUGCAUUAAGAAAGUAACAAUAUGCACCUUGGGCUUUAAAAUGUGUGAAGAUUACAGUUUAAGAUUGGAUGCCAUGCGGAUGCUGUGAAUGAAUACAAUAAAGCUCUAGAAACAAACAAAUAAAACGCUGGCAGUUCAUGAAGGAUUAAAUACACCAAAGGGAAGUCUGAACAAAGCAACAGAAGAUUUUGAGCUUACAUUACAAAACUCUCCAACUCACAGACACUUGUAGAAAGAAGAGGAUAGUUAGAAGAAGAAAAGUUUUUAAAUGCUGAAAGUCACUGGAAGAAAGCUUGGGCUUUGGAUGAGACUUUGAAAGAUGUAAAAAAUGCUUCGCAGAAACUUCAUAAAUAAGUACAGAGAAAAAACAGGCUGAAAAGGAAGAAAAGCAGAAAACAAAGAAAAUAGCUAAAGAAGAAAAGAAAAUCAACUACUUCCUCUUCCUGUUUCUUCUGCUGAUGAAUCUGUUUCUGCAUCAUCCUCAUUCUCUUCCAGUCACAAAAAGCAUAAGAAACAUAAGAGGAACUGUUCCAAGUCUGCUUGAAAUUCGAAGAGACAUUCGCUUAGGGUAUCCCCAAACCAGAUAGACAGAGUAGGAAAGGUGAAACCCAGUUUCAACUAAUACUUUAGCAUCUUUUCUUAACCAAAAGCAAGAAGUGGAAAAACUACUGGAAAAGCAGGGAUAAGUUACAAUAUCAAAAAACAUGAGUAAAAGAGAAAGAUAGAUACUCUCUCCAUCUUCAGAUGAAAUACUGUAUUAUUUUGGAGACAGGUCUGAAGAGCCAAGAGAUUUUUGUAAUACUGAUAAAACCGAGACAAGUAGUAGCAAAGCAGAAAAGCCAUAUAAAUCAGAAAGACAUUUUUCCAGCAGAAGAAAUUCCUCAGAUUCCUUCCGUAGGAAUUCAGGAAACAAGAUAAGAAUUUAUGAUUGUAGAUUUGAACAGGAUAUGGUUGUAGGAGAUGUGGUCGUAGGAGGGAAGAAAAGAGCUCUAGAGAAGGUAAAAGCCAGGUUCUAUGAGGUAUUUCACUUCACCAGCAAGCUGAGACCACUCCUGGAAGUCAGUUGAGAGAUACAAAAAACAUUCUUAUUCUAGAUCAUGUGAUUUUGGUAGACAUGAGCUAAAAUACUGAUUAAAUACAAAUCAAGGAAAAUAUGAAGGAGAAAAUAAUUAUGGGGAGGAUAUCAAAACAGAGGUUCCAGAACAAGAUGGACUUAUAGCAAAGAACACUCAGAAAGCAGCGUUUAAAAAAAUUAAAAUUUACUCAGUAUAUUUAAUCAGAUAGGUGGAUUUGGGAAAGAAAAAGAAAAUAAGACAAA
rnacentral:lncRNA from 1 species